rnacentral:rRNA from 1 species
ACAGAUCGUUCAGAGUUUGAUCCUGGCUCAGGAUGAACGCUAGCUACAGGCUUAACACAUGCAAGUCGAGCGGGUAUUAUUCUUUCGGGGAUAAGAGAGCGGCGCACGGGUGAGUAACACGUAUCCAACCUGCCGAUCACUCCGGUACAGCCUUUCGAAAGAAAGAUUAAUCCCGGAUUGUAUGGCGAUUCCGCAUGGUUUCUCCAUUAAAGGUUUUUUCCGGUGAUCGAUGGGGAUGCGUUCCAUUAGGCAGUUGGCGGGGUAACGGCCCACCAAACCUACGAUGGAUAGGGGUUCUGAGAGGAAGGUCCCCCACAUUGGAACUGAGACACGGUCCAA